GCGGGGGUGGAGCACCUGAACUGAUACUCCAAGGUGGAGUCGAUCCAGGCUCUCUCCUGAGGAGACGUUUCCUGCGGAGGGUCAAUCCCGAUCGCCGCAAACCACGUCUUGAACUGGUCCGGCCGCAGUUCGGGCUGCGUGUAGAUGUCACCAAACCAGGUCUUGUACUGCUCCGCGAGGGUGCGGAGCCGCUCCUGUUCCGUCAGAUCCGUUACCGUGGCAAUGAGCCAGGGCUCGUGCUGUCCAAAGAUGAUUGCUGCAAGUAAAUGAUGCCCGUCAAUCACGCGGCCUUUCAGUGCUUCCAGCGUGGCCCAAGCGGUAGGAGCGCUACGCAACAGUACUUCCGCCUCGCCG
rnacentral:misc_RNA from 1 species